rnacentral:tRNA from 1 species
GGUGUUGUAGCUCAUUGGUAGAGUGCUUGCUUAACACAUGUAAGUACUGGGUUCGAUCCUUAGCACCA